GGGCAUUUGGCACAGUGGUAGCGCGCACGCUUCGCACCGCAGGAAGAAACCGCAUCAACGGGCUUGCGUGAGGUCUAGGGUUCGACUCCCUAAAUGUCCA